UUAAAGGCUGUGGCUUNACCAUAGUACGCUUUGGAAACUGUUUAACUUGAGUGCAGAAGGGGAGAGUGGAAUUCCAUGUGUAGCGGUGAAAUGCGUAGAUAUAUGGAGGAACACCGGUGGCGAAAGCGGCUCUCUGGUCUGUAACUGACGCUGAGGCUCGAAAGCGUGGGGAGCGAACAGGAUUAGAUACCCUGGUAGUNCACGCCGUAAAUGAUGAGUGCUAGGUGUUAGGCCCUUUCCGGGGCUUAGUGCCGCAGCUAACGCAUUAAGCACUCCGCCUGGGGAGUACGACCGCAAGGUUGAAACUCAAAGGAAUUGACGGGGGCCCGCACAAGCGGUGGAGCAUGUGGUUUAAUUCGAAGCAACGCGAAGAACCUUACCAGGUCUUGACAUCCCGAUGCCCGCUCUAGAGAUAGAGUUUUACUUCGGUACAUCGGUGACAGGUGGUGCAUGGUUGUCGUCAGCUCGUGUCGUGAGAUGUUGGGUUAAGUCCCGCAACGAGCGCAACCCUUAUUGUUAGUUGCCAUCAUUCAGUUGGGCACUCUAGCGAGACUGCCGGUAAUAAACCGGAGGAAGGUGGGGAUGACGUCAAAUCAUCAUGCCCCUUAUGACCUGGGCUACACACGUGCUACAAUGGCUGGUACAACGAGUCGCAAGUCGGUGACGGCAAGCUAAUCUCUUAAAGCCAGUCUCAGUUCGGAUUGUAGGCUGCAACUCGCCUACAUGAAGUCGGAAUCGCUAGUAAUCGCGGAUCAGCACGCCGCGGUGAAUACGUUCCCGGGCCUUGUACACACCGCCCGUCACACCACGAGAGUUUGUAACACCCGAAGUCGGUGAGGUAACCUUUUAGGANCCA
rnacentral:rRNA from 1 species